GACGAACGCUGGCGGCGUGCUUAACACAUGCAAGUCGAACGGAAAGGCCCUGCUUUUGUGGGGUGCUCGAGUGGCGAACGGGUGAGUAACACGUGAGUAACCUGCCCUUGACUUUGGGAUAACUUCAGGAAACUGGGGCUAAUACCGGAUAGGAGCUCCUUCUGCAUGGUGGGGGUUGGAAAGUUUCGGCGGUUGGGGAUGGACUCGCGGCUUAUCAGCUUGUUGGUGGGGUAGUGGCUUACCAAGGCUUUGACGGGUAGCCGGCCUGAGAGGGUGACCGGCCACAUUGGGACUGAGAUACGGCCCAGACUCCUACGGGAGGCAGCAGUGGGGAAUAUUGCACUAUGGGCGGAAGCCUGAUGCAGCAACGCCGCGUGCGGGAUGACGGCCUUCGGGUUGUAAACCGCUUUCGCCUGUGACGAAGCGUGAGUGACGGUAAUGGGUAAAGAAGCACCGGCUAACUACGUG
rnacentral:rRNA from 1 species